AUUCAUCAUCCCACGGAGCUAUCACACUUCAAAAUGACGAAGGUACGUUAUUCAAGGUAAAUGGUCAGCAUCUUAAAUUAUUUUUAGAGCCCAAUAAAGAAUUAGAAGAAAUAGACGUAGUCCAUUUUUACCUUCCCAUGGAGAAUUAGAGCCCGACCUUUUUAGUCUCACGUUUUCGGGUCAUAUAUAUUUUUCUAAAUAGUUUUGCAUCUAAUAACACCCUCGAGGAAGUGGACCCACAGAGGGGCCAGAGAGAGGGCGGGCGCCCAGAUCAGGUGGGCGGGCGAACAGCUCCUGUUCCCCCUCGGUCCCGACUUUCUCUGUCAUGGAAAAUGCACUUAAGGAAAUCCGAAUAAUCCCUCAGAUGGAAAGCUUCGCAAGCACAUCGACGGGAGCAACCCGAACAACCCAUAGAGGUACUUUUUGACCCCUAUAUAAACAGACCCCUGACCUCAGUUUUCAAACACCAAGCCAUCAAGCCUUAUCUUCUUCUUCAAUUAGAGCUUGAUUAGUUCCUUGCUGCUCCAAUGGCCGAGAAGUACCACGAUGUUUGGGAAGUCGUCCCCUUCAACCUCAACAUGGAGCCGGUGGAAGACCCCGAUGCCCGUGCUCUCGUCCCGGCCAACACAGAGCGACAACUAGAAGCCAUGCCAUUACGCCAACGCAGCUCCGCCCAAUCCUACCAUGCUCAACCAGUUCUCACCGCACCGCUACAACCCCUACUCCUCAAGGGAUCAUCAUCUAAGACGAAGACCACCAUCAAGGUGCCAACCGGCACAAGGAUCCUUCCACCUAGACCCAAUGAGAGAGUCGUUGGAGUCAAGACCAACCGGAGCGGUGAGAUCAGCAGCGUACGCUACACUACGGAGGUAGAAAGGCCUUACUUCGAAGGGAUUAGAGCAGCUAAAGUCCGUUUUAUCCCUCCAAAGGCAGCCCCGAAGCACGCUAUCAAUGCUUUUGAGACACCUCCCAAGCGUCGCAAGACUAAAAUGGAUAUUGAUGAGGACAUUCGCAAACUAGACAGAGUUAUCAUAGACCUCCAGUCCUCGAUUAAUUCCCUCACUAGGCAGCUCUCUAACCACAACACCAUCGUACUAGGCCUUAGACAGGAUCUUGCCAGUGCCAACAAGAAGAUUAAGGAAUUAGAGCGCCGCUAAGUUAUCUAGAUUAGAUCUUGAGGCAAUGCAUCUUAGUCAUCUAUCUGUAAAUUCGGUUUAGGUUUACUAUUAUUAUCAGUUUACUACUAUCGUCAGUUUGCUACUAGUUAUUUGUAAUAAAUGCCUCAAGAUUAAUAAAGAAUAUUAUUAUUAUUAUUAUUAUUAUUAUUAUUAUUAUUAUUAUUAUUAUUAUUAUUAUUAUUAUUAUUAUUAUUAUUAUUAUUAUUAUUAUUAUUAUUAUUAUUAUUAUUAUUAUUAUUAUUAUUAUGUCUCGUGUGUCUCUACUUUAUUUUUUGUGCAAGAAAGCAGAAAACAAGUAUGGGGGAGAUCCCUCGACAUGCCAAACACACUCCGACUACACCACUCCACGAUUCAGGUGCACACUCUGCACACUUUACUUUACACAUACACAUAUCUUGGAUUAUGCAGAAUACUGUUUCCGACAUGACAAAUUAAAAAGAUUAAAAUAUUUCUAAUCAUGAUUAAUCUCAAUCUGUGAUAUUUCCUGAAACUUGCAAUUAUUAUAAAAUCAUUUUAAAACCCUGUGUUACUUAAGACACUAUGAAAUGUGAGAUGGUAGAGUUUCUUAUUCUUGAUAUCAUUGUUGCUUGGAGAAUUUAUUUUAAAAUCUUUAAAAUUCUAGCUACCAUCCUCAGUGUUUUAUAUGCCUGAUAAAAAACUGAAAAUACUAAUUAUGAUUAUAAAAGCUAUCUACUCUGUAUUGAGUUUGUUCAAAAUGAGUUAGACCCUUGUUGAGAGAUUUAUCAUGCUCCUAAGAUCAAGACAUUUAUUCAGAAAGAUUCACUCUUCCGAAGUAUUAUUGCAUUAGAGGCAUGGGCUAUGCAAAAAUAAAGAUAUUUCGAGGAAAUAAAAAGGAGCAAGUGCUCGACAACCUCGUAGGAAAAAUGGACAACUGUCCGGCAGUAGAAUUAGGGGUACCUCGGUAUCCAUUAAAAAAAAAGAGAGAAAAAAAUGAUAAGCCCAUGGUCCCUCUAAUAAGCAAUAUGCCAGCAAGGGUUGACAAAGAUUUUAAUUUCCAAAGUCUUUGAUCUAAGAGUAUGACACUCCCCUCCUCGGAUCCCGUUUUGAUCAGGCAAUAAAUGCAAAGUAAGUAUGCUUAAGAAUUUUUACAAAUAAAAACAGCCUCAGUGAGAUAUAUAAAAGAUAAUGAGUGAUCUGAGAGAACCUAUGAGGAUAAAAAGGUAUGCUAGCUUUCUUUCAAAAUGAUACAAAAACUCCAAGUAACAGGAUUGAGAAGAAAGGAUCUUUACUCUUAAUCAUAUACUUCCCUGACUACAGUACAUAGAGGAAUUUUAAUACCCUGCAAAUAUAAAGAAUGUUUUAGAAUAUUUUACCCCAAGUAUUGUUCUUAACCAUCCUUUUCUCGAGGACGAGUAAAAGCCUAAGUAUGGGGGUAUUUGUUGACGGUUCUUAAGUAUCAGUUUUAAUUAUCAAAUAAACAAGAGAAAGGACCAAUAUGCAACCAACACCUAGAAUUAGGGUUUGAUCUGACAGAAUUCCACGAGUUUUGUUGUUUAUCUGUUUCUGCAGUGGGUUAUCCGGAAAUAAGGAAGAAAGGCCCACAUGUCGGGAUUACAUAGAGAUAUCAACGCACCACGUAAUUUUCUACCAUCUAGAAGACUCCAGAAGCCACGGGAAGAAAGCAGAGGCCGAAAGGGGCCAGGCCUAGGGCGCCCGCCAUGGUGACCUGGGCGCCCGCCCCCUGCUGGAUUCCGUUCGGGACUCUCUUCGCACACGAUGUUCCACCGACCUAUUGGAUCAAGAAUAACGUAGUACCACCUCGCCUACCGACCCAAAAACGCAUAGAGGAGGAGGACUAUAUAAGGAGACCCCCC
rnacentral:lncRNA from 1 species